rnacentral:lncRNA from 1 species
GGUGGGGUCGCCUGCCCAAUGUCGGGUGCGCGAGUGACGGGUGGAAGCCGGAUUAGUGCGCGUUCUUCAAGGCUCCAAAGGGAGGAGGGAGCCUCCGAGAGUCCACGUGGGGCCGGUGGGAUUCGCAGGGCAGGAGUGCAGAUGUGAUCUCGGCACACCACAACCUCUGCCUCUUGGAUUCAAGCGAUUCUCCUGCCUCAGCCUCCCAAGUAGCUGGGAUUACAGGCAUGCGCC